rnacentral:rRNA from 1 species
GACGGAGGGCACCACCAGAUGUGGAGCCUGCGGCUUAAUUUGACUCAACACGGGAAAACUUACAGGUCCAGACAUAGUCAGGAUUGACAGAUUGAAGUUCUUUCAUGAUUCUAUGCAUGGUGGUGCAUGGCCGUUCUUAGUUGGUGGAUGUGAUCUGUNAGGUUAAUUCCGAUAACGAACGAGACCCCAGCCAUCUAACUAGCUGUAACUACUUCGGUAGUGU